GUUUCUAUGUUUAAAAUUUUUUUAAAGGAAAGGAAAAGCCAAAUUUGUCUGAAGUAAAUGUCUGAGAAAUCAAAAGUAUGGACUGAGGGUACAUAGAAGGUUGUAGAAAGUCAGAGGGGAUGUGAGGAGAUAUGAACUAUGUUUGUUGUGGUUUCUUAUACCUGCAAAUACUAAAGUUGAAAGUUAAUUCUGGUUGGUUUUGAUUUUAAAAUUAGCUGAUGAUUCCACACUGCAAACUGUUUAUGUUAAAAAUGGAGAUACAUAUAUGUAUGUAUGUAUGUAUGUAUGUAUGUAUGUAUGUAUGUAUGUAGACAUGUAUGUGACUUGGACUUAACUCUAAAUGUAAGCUAGCUUUAACUGCAUGUAUGUGUAUGUAACCUGGAUCCAACUGUGUGUAUGUGUGCAAGUAAUUAUUAUUCAGAAAAACAUGUUUUAAACAGCAACCAUGUGGCUUUCCUCCAUCUUGGCUGGUGACCUCAUAGGCAGCCACAUGGCUGGCAGCCAUCUUUUACUAAAGAUUAUAAAGAUUCAUUCAGGCUAACAAAAGCUAACUUAGAGAUUUACACUUAAGUACUUAUGUCUUUACCAAGUGUUCAAAAGCAAGCUUCUAGAGAAUUUAAAUAGAUGGUUACAUGUGUUUGAUAAAUAUUGAUAAAAAAAAUAAGGUAUUUGAUAAAUAUUAAAGCUGCAUCUCAAUGCUUUUAUAUACAAGAAUGUACCUUGCUCAAGUAACUAAACUUUAUAAGAGUCAUCCAAGUGAUAGUCACCAGAAGCACCAGCCACAAUGAAAUAGAGCAGGCUGAGAUGUAGAAGGCAGGCUAUGUAUAUGCUGCCAAGGGUAGGGCCAAAAAAAUGAAUCAAGCCUCUAAGUAAAAGAACCAAAAGGAUUGUGAAUGAAUCUGAGAUAUUGAACUUUGGGAUUGUUUGCACUUUUGAGCUUGGUUUUGCUUUAUACAGAUUAUGAUUAUGCUAUGUUUUCUCCCACUUAAAGUAAAAGAAUGUACUUUAUUGUUGAUAUUGCAGAAAGACAUUUGAGAGAUCUUAACCUUUUUAAGAACAGUUUUUUAAAUAUUUAAAUUUAUAGGGCUAUGGGACAUUUUAAGUUUAUAAAAUGCUCUAUAUUGUUAAUAUUUGGACUUAAAAGGCUAAAAAUUAGGAUCAGAGCCAUAAGCACCAAAUACUAACCAGAAACUGGGAUGUUCAUUUUUUGUGGUGCAGCAAGAUAAUGACCUAGGUAAAGGGCUUGGAACAGCUUCUGACUCCAUGAGUAUUAACCCUCUGGAAGUUGGAAAAAAACUUUUUACAGAGGUAGCCUAGAACAACUUUUAUGUCAGAUGUUUGCAUUGAUAUUCAACAAUGGCAAAACAGUAGUUAUGAAAUAGCAUUGAGAAAGCUGAGAAUCAGUGAGGCUUAAGAACAUUUGCUUAGCCUCCUUGCCUUUGCUAAAUUUGUUAAACUUAAGCUAUUUAGAUAAUCUGGAUCAUAUAUAUGUUUUAUAUUGAUGUUUUAUUUUGGUUUCUUUACUCAACUUGUAUUUGAUACUAAAAGACCUUCAAUUUAAAAUCAUUGUUUUUAAGGCUAGACUGUUAGAGAACAUAAGUAAAUAGUCAUAUUAUAAUAAAGUUUUUUUUAAUUGUAGUCAUGCUAAGUGCUGAUGUAACUAAUUACAGGGAUAAGCUUUACUCAGUCCCUUACAUAAGUUUUCAGGGUUGAGCUUAAAACAAGUAACUAGAAACAAAGUUUGUCUAUUCAGAUAUACCUGGAUAGCCCUCAUACUUCAGAGAUCUGCAGAAUAUGGCAUUUAAAAUGUUGAUCUAAAAGCUUUUUAUAUCAGACAGACUCCCAGAUCCUAACAGUGACCCAAAGUCUCCAAAGAAGAUUACACAUGGGGCACCACAAUGUCUCUGCCUGGACUAUGGCAAAGCUGACCACAGGGAAAGAUGCCCCCAAUGCAACACCUGCUGACAGGACCUGGCCCAGACUGUGGACAAGCAGCAAGACAUCAGGGAAUUGAUUGCACCCCUUUUUGCCUUCCUGUGUGUUUCCCUCUUCUACAGGAAAAACUCUGCCUUAUGGGCCUGAUGGCCAAAGAAGACGAUGCUGUUCCAAUACUUGUGCCUCCAAUGCUAUGGAGGCCUGGGUAUGGACUGUUCCCUGUCAUUUAUAGAAUUGGAAGCUGCUUGGUCUGCACUCAGAUAUAAUUUAUCCUUCUCAGAUCUCUGAUAGUACUGAUGGUUAGGCUAGCUAUAAUUUUGUCAGCUUGGCAACAUCAGACAAACAGAUCCUUCCACAAGGCUAUAGCCAGCUUGUUAGCCCAUUUUUAAGAAAAUGUGCUAAGAUAUAAAAGUUUAAAUAAGUCAGAAAGGUUUAAAUAUGGGUCUAAAAAAGGGUCUGAGGAUAUGAAAGCUUAUAAGCUUUGAGGAUCUCAGAAAAUGAUUUAGAUUAUGAGAAAUGUUUCAGAUUGCUUUCACAUUCUAUGAUGUAACAGUUCUGAACUUAGCAUUUAAUAGAGUUCUGAUAAGCUGGUAGAGCAAUGACUCCUUACUGUUCAGUCACAAGCUCAACAUUUUAGAUUUAUUUUAGUUGUAAUCUAAAUAUAUCUAAAUAAAAAACCUAGAUGUGCUUCUCAUCAGACCAAAAAAAAAAAAAAAUCUCUGUCCAAUUUACACCUGGCUCCCUGGACAGAAGGAAAAUGCACAAGCUUUUAACCCAAAUCUGUAGUUCUUGUUGGGACUCAAAGGUAUAAGUCCACUUCUGCUGUUUUACAGAUAUCCAUUACCUGCUUUGUCUAUGAUAUGGAUUUCAGUACAGAUUGGUAAUACUAAGGUAUCUAAAACUUUUAUGUCAUUUUGUAAGAUAAUUCAUAUAGGCUUCAGAGGAUUAACAGUCAUAAAACCUGGAUCCACCUCACAGAGGUCAGAAGAACCCCAGAUAAGUACAGCUUAUUCCUAAGGAUGGUAUUUUUCUCUUCCCUGGUCUUGGGACUCCUGCUCUUCCCAAUUACUAAGGAUAUGGGCCUAAGGGUUCCAAACAAGUUCAUAAAUUUUAACCUCUGUUCCUAGUUUAAAUUUGUCUCAACCGAUUUCCAUUUGAGCUUCAGUUGCUGACUACACUGCUCUGGAUAACUAUGAGCUCUGGAACUGCUAAAAGCUGACAUGGACCAGUCCAGCCAAUGUGAUUGUUCCCUGUCUUUACAGCUGGGUCAAAUAGCCACAUAAUUCUGAUGAAUGUCCCAUUGCCCAGCCUUUGACCAGCCUUUCAGCCUUUUGGAGCCCUGACAACACCCCAAAGCCAGCUUGAAGCAGUUUCAGAAGAAAAUACACCAUUCCAUGUUCCUGUGCAGAAUAAGGCUGAAAUGCUAGGUCAAAAGGAAACUCCUUGGCAUAGAGACAAGAUGGUCAACUAUAAUGCUCAUUGACAUACUAGGAAAAUAGGUUCAGAAUUGUCAAUUGAUAAAUUUAUUAACUGAAAUAGUUCUGCAAUAAGAUAAGACACUUAUCCUUCUUUGUGAAGAACCAAAGAGGUAUUACUCAAAGAUCAGAACUACAGGGCCUUAAGAAUGAUGAUAGAUACAGAUGUCACUGCCCUAGAAAAAUCUGUUAGCUAAUGAAUCUUAGGUCCCAAUACCCUUGAACCUCUGGACAGGUAGCACUCAUAAUUGAGUCCUGUCAUUGGUACUUGUGAAGGGGGGAAUGUGAAGGCAAUACAGACUACAUCUUAGCGAAGGGCCACCAUCUUAGAUCAUCUGCUCUACUCAGUUUCAGGAAGGACCUCAGGAAUGUGCCAUGACAAUUCAAACAGAUACAGGGCAGUAUGUGCCUAUAGACAUUCUGUCUAUGGUUUAUGGCCCUUGAAGAUAUCUAGAUAAUCCUGUUGAGCAGCCAAGAUAAUCCUGCUCAGCAAGUUGUGGUUCCCCACCAAAAGGUCCAAUCCAAUAGUUUCAAAUGUGGUUUCAUGCUGAAAGUCUAGACCAAUAGUUUCCAAAAAUCACCUUGCCCCAUAUCCCUUCUACCCAAUCCCAAGUUGCCAAAGCAUGUAAUUUCCAGCUUAUGGUGUUUCCCUAUAAAAAAAAAAAAACUCUCUACCCCUGAGCCCACUACCUCCACAUUUCCCUCCAUCUGCCAUGUGGUAGCCCAGGUUCAAACCUGACAAUAAAAGGACCCUUAUGUGCUUGUAUCAGAAACUGGCUCCUUGGUGGUCUCUGGGGGUUUUGUGAAAUGGGUACAACAAUCUAAUUGCCAGAAAUCUUCCUAUAGUCCAUCUUGAGCUCAUUUCUGGAUACAAAUUGCCUGAGACCUAACACCUACUUUUAUCCUGUUUUUGAAAGAAUAAUAAACACUCUUUGAAGAGCUAGAAGACAAUGUGAACCUGUUGUCAUGUUUUCAUACAAUGUUAAGGAACACAAAAGUAUUCAGAGUUCUUUCAUCUUUCCAACUGACUUUGCCACUGCUAGCUGGGUAGGGAAGUUAAAGAAGAUCUCUUAAUCAGAACAAAACAUCUUAUGCAGCAAAAUGAGUGAAAUUUCAAACUAAAAAGAUUUCAUCACACAGUUCAAGGAACUUUGCCACCUACUAACACUGAUUUCAAAUUUUAAAUUCAAACAUUCUCUAUUAUCAAAGGCAAAUGAUGAGAACAGAGAAUGUUUUAAGUAAUUUUCACACAGAUCAAACGCAUUAAUAAUUGGCACUGUGCUUUCCAAGAUGUGACAGCUGGAGGUUACAAAAUUAUUGAAAUUUUAAUUAUAUGAUAGUUCACACCAAUAACUCAGAAGUAGAUAAAUAGGAAGUAAAAGAGAUGAUUUUAAGUGGAGACCUUCUGGGAUCUGGUAUUCAUGACUGGUCAGUUACAAUGUGUGGUGGAAAAGCAUCUUUUAAAAUAGGAAGGUCAACAAGCUCCAGUAGCGUCAAGGAAGCAAGACAUGAUUUCACUUUCCCUUCUAUGUAAAUGUGUCUCAAAUUCUUAAAUUCUAAAGUUUUCUUCCUAGAAAAUGAUUCCUGCUCAGUAAAAUUUCAUUAGAAAUGAUGGAUGACAUUUUAGAAACUGUUUUGACUUGGAUUUCUUGUCAUAUUUUAGAGACCCACCUUGGUGUCUGCUUUAGCUAGCCCCUUAAUGAUCUUGCUUCUUUUUACAGGGGUAGCCUAGGACCACCUGAAUGUCAAGUGUUUAUAUUGAGAUUCAUAACAAUGACAAAACUACAAAAAUGUCUCUCCUCAUCUAAGGUUUAUUCAGGCUAACAAAGACCAAUUUAUGCCUAACUGUCUCACUUUACUUACAUAUUGGUAAGCUUUGAAGGAGAUGAGGAGGGUCCCCAAUUCCCAUACAGGAAUUGGUGAAAAUGACUUUUUUUAGCACCUGAAAACAGACAGCUGAGCCUUCCCAAUGGGCCCAGCUGCAACAGGAGACUAUGCUCCAAGCCCCAUACCUUAACAGUUGCCCUGAGGAUACCACCCCCCCCACACACACACACACACACGGAGGACAAGGGACAUCAACUAUGAGGCUCUAUCCCACCAGAGCUGAGCCCAAGUCAACUCUUCCAGGAGCCUGCAUCAAAUGCAGCCUGGGGCCACUGGUCACAGCAUUACCCUGACUAAUCAGCUGCCCAUGAGGCUAUGCCCUGUCUGUUGACAGCCUGGACACUGGAGAUCGGAUGCCCUGUGCAGGCUUGUCUUCUAUGCCAUGGAGAUCCAGUCCAGCCUCGCCAACACUGGCAUCUGACUAUCUUGGCCUUUGAACUCCUAAGCCUGGUGGAGGACUGAUAGCACCUAGACUUGGUGACUCCCAUUCCCUCUCCAAGCCUAGAGUGAUGCUGCAGUAGCAGGUAAGUCCAUUGAUCUUUUACUGGAUUCAGGAGCUACCUACUCUGUUGUAACCUCUUCCUCAGGUCUCAAAGUUUCCUCACCAAUUCCUGUCACAGGGGUAGAUGGAACCCCCUCCUUCCCAUUUAAGAGAAACCUGGGACUGCCUAUGUAGCUGGAAUGCUGUCUUGGUCCUGUUCACUUACUCAUCCUUCUCAGAUCUGAUGGUGUUUGAUGACCAGGAUUUGCCAAUUUUACAGCUCUCUCCACCCCUAAGGCUACAAGCACCUUGAUAACACAUUAGUAAGUUUCCUGUUAAAAGUACAGAUAGGUGUUGUGCCUCAUUCGCAGACUUCAUGGUACAGGAUAAACCAGUUUCAUAUGUAAAUUCAGAAGGUCAAAAUUUUAGUAUUGAUGAAUGCAGUUUUGCUAAACUGAUGGAGCACUGACUACAGACAGUCUUGGGUGUCCUUAAACUUCUGUGGGCUUUACUGGUCCCAGCUUUUAGAGACAGGUUAGCAUUUGAGAGGGUAGGGAAGCCUCCCUUCUCUUCCUUCACUCACCCAACCCCUUCCAUUCAGUAAAUGUUCUCUGGUUAUAGAUUUAAGGAUGUGUUUCAUUGGGCCAAAACCAGGCCUAGAAAAUGUUCAUGCCUUUUAGCCCAAAGCCAUAACUUUUACUAUGACACCAAGGUGUAAAUCUGUUCAAGUUGUUUUACAGACACAAAUUCCUGUACAGAUCCACCCCUCCUGCCAGACACAUACCAAGGCCAGACCCUCAAAGGUCCUCCAGAUAUACCACCAGCUGUUGCACCAACCAAGGACACCAACCAGGCGAAUACCAGCAGGAGAAUGAAGGCUGAGGAAUCUGAAGAACACUGGACAAAUGAGACAUCUAAAGAAAAAGGAGAAACCAUCCAGAAAAAAGUGUCCCAAGAAAAAGAAUAAAUUGGUCUAUUGGUAUAUCACAUAUCUAACAGGAUAAAAUUUCAUGUCUUCUUAAAUGUUUGUUUCUGCUGUUCUCUACAGACACAUAACAUAAAUGGUCUUUAGGUAGUCCCAGUUCAAUUAAAAAUUAAAGCUGGCUUUGGAGUUGUAGUGUGGCUCUCUCCUUCUCUAAACUCAACCAUGUUUGUUAAAAGAAAACGCAAAAUCUCUGUAUGUCAGAACAGCUACCUGAUAUGGGACAGAAGAAAAAUGAAAAUUAAGAGUCUAUUCUAUUGCUAGUAAUCUCAUGAUCCUUUGGUUUUAUUUUGACUCUUUAAAACUUAAGGUAUGAAUUUUAUAUCAAAAUUUGUAAGAUUAACAUACAUAUAUAUUUUAAACUUUUUCAUAUUAAUGGUCAUAUAGAGUUGUAGCUAGAGUUUUCCUGCCUUGCCCACAGUCAGGACAAAUCUUUGUCACCCGCCAGUCCCACAGCCGCUCAGACCCAACCAAGUAAACACAGAGACUUAUAUCGCUUACAAACUGUAUGGCCAUGGCAGGUUUCUUGCUACUGUUCUUAAAGCUUAAAUUAAUCCAUUUCUAUAAAUCUAUACCUUGCCACGUGGCUCGUGGCUUACCGGCAUCUUCACAUGCUGUUUGUCAUGGCAGCUGGCAGUGACUCCCUUUCCCUUCCUGUUCUUUCUUUUCUCCUUUCUGUUAGUCCCGCCUAUACUUCCUGCCUGGCCACUAGCCAAUCAGUGUUUUAUUAUUGACCAAUCAGAGUAAUUUGACAUACAGACCAUCCCACAGCAUAGAGUACUAGCUCAUUCUAGAGAAAAGGCUUCAUCUAGCUUCCUGUACAUUUCAGGUUUGAAUCUCUAUCAGUUUUCUGUAGUGAACCAUGACCAUACCCAACAGCGACUUUGAAGUCUCCAAAAAGAUGGAACCCACAAUUUCAUCAGGCCUAUGAUAAUGCCACCAAGCUGACAAACACCCCCAAAGAUCGGCUUUGGACUACAAACUGCUCAGAACAAUUUCAAGAUGGCUAGCUGAGAUGAUACAGCCUCACAGAUUACUCGAGACAGGACUUCAGUCAAGCCCUAUACUUUCACAUUAUGCAGAGACUGGACAACAAUGAUACAGCUACCUUUCCCAGGACUUGACAAUUAACCCGAACAAUUUUCUUUUCAGGAUACCCCAAAGAUGCCUUUACCCCCAGAGAGCAGAAAGUAAUUUUAAGAACAUGAAGCCCACAUUCCCAAGAGGUGGGGUGGAUGACUUUUGACCUUUCAAUGGGUAAUGGAUAUUUGUCAUCGUUUAGGAUGGUUGGUUACAAGUUGUAAAUUGAUAAUGGUCAGGAAAAAAGCUAAACAAAGGAUAUUAAAUUCAGGUUUCUUGUUUGAAAAAAAAAGAGGAUAUAAAUAAGAGGUAAUUAUUGAAUAUGAAAAACAAAGAUAUUGAAAUGAUAGGAUAAAAGGGUAGAUUAUUGAAUCUACUCUGAAAAGAAAAAGAGUAUGGAUAUGAUAAGAUAAAAAGGUAGAUUACUGCCGGGCAAUGUUGGUACACAACUUUGAUCCCAGUUCUUGGGAGGCAGAGCCAGGUGGAUCUCUGUGAGUUCAAGGCCAGCCUGGGCUACCAAGUAAGUUCCAGGAAAGGUGCAAAGCUACACAGAGAAACCUUGUCUCAAAAAACCAAAACAAAAAAACAAACAAAAAGGUAGAUUACUGAAACUACUUUUAGAAAGCAACUACUAGUUUUAAACAUUUUACAAUGGAGUGGAUUUUGUAUAUUGUAUAUAAAUUAUGUAUAUUGAUACAAAUUUGGGACUGAUUUUUAAAAAAUACUGUACAUGUAUUUCUAAUCUUGUCCAAGGUAUGUAUUGUACCUAUACUGUUCAUUUAACAAUGUAAUGCAAAUCUGUAGUCCUUGAAAGUUAUUAAUCAACUAAUUAGGAUAUAAAGAAAUGCAGGUUAGUAGUUAGUCACCUAUUACAAUCAGACUUGUAGUCAGGUUAGGUAUGUUUUCAAGGUCAGAAAUAUAUAUUAGAUAGGUCAUCUUCAAACACUUCAGAGAUCUAAAGAACAUGGCAUUUAAGAUGUUUUAAUAACAUAUUCUUUUUUUUAUAAAAUGAGACAUGUCUGCUCCUGGCAGCACCAAUCUACUUGAGAGAUGAUGGGUACGGAUGAAACUCCUUAUGGAGUUUACUUUCUUUGUGGUAAAAGUUAGCCACUGGGCAAGAAAGUGUCCUUACCUUGACUGCUGACAGUAUGCUGUCCAAAAUGGACAAGCAGGACACAAAAGAAAGGACUACUGAAUUUUACCAAGACAAAGUAGGACAGCCCUUCAGAAAAUCCUGCUUCCCAAAAAGUCUGUCAGGUAUGCUAAGCCUGUAGGCCAAAGAUGCAUGCACCAACAUUGCAGAGGAACUUCGGGUGACUGUACGGGCAGCCUUAUGUCCCUGUCAUCAGGUAGCAUUACAUCCUUCUGGAGUCUUUAAUGGAGUUGAAGACUAGAAAGUUAUAAUAAAAGAUAAAUUAGAUACAAUACUUUAGACUCACCAAGAUAAGAUAGAUAAUAAAGUAUUUUCUCUAAUUUUGUCAAAUGAAAAUGGAUUGGAUAUUAUUACUGUAAUUUACUUAAUAACUUUUUUUUACUAUAUUAAGGUUAAACCUUUUUUUUUAAUUUUUUUAAUUUUUAUUUUGCAAUACAAUUCAGUUCUACGUAUCAGCCACGAAUUCCCUUGUUCUCCCCCCUCCCACCCCCUCACCUUCCCUCCAGCCCACCCCCCAUUUCCACCUCCUCCAGGGCAAAGCCUUCCCCACGGACUGAGAUCAACCUGGUAGACUCAGUCCAGGUAGGUCCAGUCCCCUCCUCCCAGGCCGAGCCAAGCGAUCCUGCAUAGGCCCCAAGGUUAAACCUUUUUUUAAUUAAAUAAAAAAAAGGGAAAUGAUGUGGGAUAAUGCUCUUGUACACUGUAAAGAUUUGUCACUCAAAUUGGUUUAAUAAAACGCUGAUUGGCCAGUAGCCAGGCAGGAAGUAAAGGCGGGGCGAUCAAACUAAGAAUGCUAGGAAGAGGAAAGGUGGCUUUAGAAGUCUCCAGCCAGCCACAGAGCAAGCAAGAUGAGAAUGCCAAACUAAGAAAAGGUACCAAGUCAUGUGACUAAACAUAGACAAGAAUGAUGAGUUAAUUUAAGUGUAAGAGCUAGUCAGUAAUAAGCCUGAGCUAAUGGCUGAGCAGUUAUAAUUAAUAUAAGCUUCUGUGUGGUAAUCUGGAAGAAGCUGCUGGGUAUUUGAAAGUUGUUGGUGGAACAGAAACUUUUGCCUACACAACUCUGCUAUACUCAUAGAUAAGUGCCUUAUUCAGCCAUCAUCAGAGAAGCUGCCUCCUACAGUAAAAAACAAAUACAGCUGGAGAUUACAUGCACACACACACACUCACACACACAUUGGAACACUCAUCCCUAAAUGGGGUGCUCAUUAAAUCUAUCCUCUAAGAGUUCAGAGAACCCCAAGGAAGAGGAGGCAGAAAGAGUGUAAGAGACAGAGGUGAUGGAGGACAUCAGAACAAGGCCCUCUGAAUCAACUAAGCACAGAUCCCAUGAACUCAUGGAGACUGAAGCAACAAGCACUGGGCUUGUGUGACUGCACCACAUCUUUUGUGUAUAUAUUAUAGCUUUCAGUUUAGUGCUUUUAUGGGACUCCUGAGUAUGUGAAGGAGUGGGUCUCUGAGUCUUGUGCUUUCUUUUAAGUUCUAUUCUGUCUGUUGGUUUACCUUGUCCAACUUCAAGGCUUUUAUCUUACUAUAUUUUAGCUUAUUAAAAAAAAUCUUUUUAUAGUCUAAAAGAAAUAAUCCUAUAAAUUCACAAUGGAGCUAAAAUGUCCAAAACAAAGUGAUGUUAUAGCUGUCUUGAUUCUAUAGCACAUAGCCUUGACCACUGACCUAUGGUGCCUCAGUAACAAGAGUGAAAUGCUGACUCAUAGUAGUGUAAAAAUGCAACACAAUUAUGUACAGUACACAAAACUGAUAGUGGUAACAAACAACCAUGGUAUUUAUUUAUUUGCUAUUUUUGUCACUAUAUUAAAGUGACUUUUACUUACCUCCACCUUUUACUGUCUUCAUUGCAUCAAGAGGCCAAAUCAAGGGACUGAUUUUGAUCAUGCAAGCUUAUGUACUCUGUGAUGUUUGCACAAUGGCUAACUUACCUAUAGAUGUACUUCUCAGGACAUACAUUUUAUUGAGUGAUAUAAUGCCACAUAGGCGGAGAGAGAGAGCGAGGGAGAGAGAGAAAGCGAGGGAGAGGGAGAGAGGGAGAGAGAGAGAGAGAGAGAGAGAGAGAGAGAGAGAGAGAGAGAGAGGUAUAAGAGAGAGAGAGAGAUCAG